UCCCAAAGUGCUGGGAUUACAGGCGUGAGCCACCACGCCCCACCUGUUGUUUGCCUUUUGAUCCAGUUCCUCAAACCAAGAGAGUGUGGAGAAGGCUGUAUUGGAGCAGAGGCCACCAGAGUGUGGGCGCACUGGGGAGGGCAUUCUCUCAGUACCCCCAGGACUGGAAGGAUCACCAGCACAUAUGCGGCCAGUCAGCAGCUGUCACGGUCCAGGCAGACGAAGUCCACGUGGCUGAAAGCGUGAUGGAGAAGGUGACCGUGUGAGGCUCCAUCGGCCGCCCUGGGAGCUGGGGCCCCUCGCACUCCUGUGAGGCUUUUGCAGGUCGAAGGCCCCCCUGAGGACUCUGGGGGGAUGUUGAGAAGAGGGGUGUGGGAAGGUAAAGAAACUUGCUGGACAAGUUAUUAACACACUUUAAGCGAAUGGUGCCCUGGGGAGCAGACUCCCCCCGCCCGGGCCCCCCGCCCGCUCGCGGAGAGAUUUUUUAUCCCUAGGAUCAUGAGCGUCCGGUCUUGCCCACAGGGCCUGUGCUGCGACGCAUGUACAUACGUGUUGUGUCUGUCAAUAAAGUGUAAAUAAGGUCUCCCUGCC